rnacentral:rRNA from 1 species
UACGUAGGGUGCAAGCGUUGUCCGGAAUUAUUGGGCGUAAAGAGCUCGUAGGCGGUCUGUCACGUCGGAUGUGAAAUCUCCAGGCUCAACCUGGAGGGGUCAUUCGAUACUGCCGUGACUAGAGGUCGGUAGGGGAGUGUGGAAUUCCUGGUGGAGCGGUGAAAUGCGCAGAUAUCAGGAGGAACACCGGUGGCGAAGGCGGCAUCCUGGACCGGUAUUGACGCUGAGGCGCGAAAGCUAGGGGAGCAAACGGG